rnacentral:tRNA from 1 species
AUCUGGCUGGCUCAAUUGGUAGAACAUGAGACUCUUGAUCUCAGGGCUGUGAGUUCAAGCCCCACGUUGGGUA